UACGCGGGGGGCGAGCGUUGUUCGGAAUUAUUGGGCGUAAAGGGCGCGUAGGUGGCGGGACAAGCGUGCGGUGAAAGCUCGGGGCUCAACCCCGCGUCGGCCGUGCGAACUGUUUUGCUUGAGCACUGUAGAGGCAGGCGGAAUUCCGGGUGUAGCGGUGGAAUGCGUAGAGAUCCGGAAGAACACCGGUGGCGAAGGCGGCCUGCUGGGCAGUAGCUGACACUGAGGCGCGACAGCGUGGGGAGCAAACAGG
rnacentral:rRNA from 1 species